rnacentral:rRNA from 1 species
AACGAACGCUGGCGGCAGGCCUAACACAUGCAAGUCGAACGCUCGUAGCAAUACGAGAGUGGCAGACGGGUGAGUAACACGUGGGAACCUUCCCUAUGGUUCGGAAUAGCUCAGGGAAACUUGAGGUAAUACCGGAUAAGCCCUUCGGGGAAAGAUUUAUCGCCAUUGGAUGGGCCCGCGUCGGGUUAGGCUAGUUGGUGAGGUAACGGCGUCACCAAGGCGACGAUCCGUAGCUGGUCUGAGAGGAUGAUCAGCCACACUGGGACUGAGACACGGCCCAGACUCCUACGGGAGGCAGCAGUGGGGAAUAUUGGACAAUGGGCGCAAGCCUGAUCCAGCCAUGCCGCGUGAGUGACGAAGGUCUUCGGAUUGU